CGCGGGAUGGAGCAGCCCGGUAGCUCGUCAGGCUCAUAACCUGAAGGUCGGUGGUUCAAAUCCACCUCCCGCAACCA
rnacentral:tRNA from 1 species